rnacentral:tRNA from 1 species
GCAAAGCGGACAUUAUCCGCUCUCCUAAAGCGGGUGUCGCAGGUUCGAAUCCUGCCGAGGGCA